rnacentral:tRNA from 1 species
AGCUAAUUAGUUUAAUUAAAACAUUAAAUUGCAAGUUUAAAGAUGCUAUUAGCUA